AGAAUUAAAUUUAUUAAAAUAUAUUAAAAUAUAUUAAUACAUUCGUUCGAAAUAUAUGUACUAUUAUCGAUACAACAAAGCGUGACUUGUAAUGUUAUGAUUAUCUAUUGUGGAAAGAGCACAUUUCCAUUUCGACCGUCGUGCUGUUUAGAUGUGUCGACGAACGAUCAAACAUAUUUCGUAUAUAAUUUAAAAUCGUGCAUGAAUUUUCGCAUAUAAAAUAUAUUUUUUAUUCGUGAGUGUAUAUAUAUGUUUUAUUCGUGAAAUAUUGUGUUUCUACGUUUCAUUAUUGGAAUACACCUGUGAAUAGAUAGAAAGCCUUUGAAAUAUCAAGUGAUGUUAUCUACAAAUGAUGCGUUGAACGAAUCGAGACGGGUAGCAAUCGAAGGGAAGAGAAGAGGAGGAGAAGAGGAGGAGGAGGAGGAGAAGGCGGCCGGUGAUUUUUUUUUCACGAGAGAGGUGUAUAUAAAAACUGUGUAACGACAGCGAAUCUGAAAAAUCGCGAAUCUUUCUCGACGAUGGUACUCAGAGAGGUGAAGGCAUGAAGAUUCAGCAGUUGUUAUCGGUUUGCGAGAACGAAAGGGAGCGAUACCUGUUGCAUACGUCAGGGAUUCUUUUCGCGCAACGAGCGAUUCUUUUGAGAAACGCCUGUGACACGAGGUUACGCGAUCGUGGUUAUUACGAUCGCGACGACGUGCAUGGUAGUAGUAUUUUGCUAACGGAAAUUUACUGGGGUUUUUUUCUUUUUUUUUUUUUUCUAGAAGGAAGAGUGGAUGCAAGAGUGGCUAAGGAGAAGAGGAGAGGUGUCAAAGAAAUAUAUGGUCAAACUUUGUAUUCUUCGUAUUCUUCUACUGUUUUUUUUUUUUUUAAGAAAGAGUGUCUUAUAAACAUAUCUUUAUUUCUUUUUUUUUUAAUCCAAGGAAAUUGCUGUAUCCAGAAUGUCAAGGAAAUAAAGUGGGUAAACUAUUGGUUAUUAUAUUUCUAAGGAAAGAAAAAGUUGCGAAUAUGGGUUGCGAAAAUUGUUUCUUUAUUAUAACGAAGUUUCGUAAGAAUGUUUAAAAUUUAUUUAAAUUGCUAGCGUAGGAAAAUAUCAAAUGUUAUUACAAAUCAUACUUACGGAAUGUUUUUCCAUAAAUAGAAAUUUAAAAAAUUCAA